rnacentral:misc_RNA from 1 species
UUUCAGGAUGAUUUGGGGCGUGCAACUCCUGUAACAAGGCAACCUUCUCGCCCGGCUAAUGCAUUUAAUGAGAAUGUUGAGAGUGUAGCUACAGCUGAAGCUGAGCUGGCUCAUUUGCGCUGUGAGCUGUCAUCUGCUGGUUCAAAUGGUCAAGGCUCAUCUGCUGUUCAAAAUAUUGGGCCGCCUACAUCUUAUAGUUAUGC